rnacentral:rRNA from 1 species
GACGUAGGAUGCAAGCGUUGUCCGGAUUAUUGGGCGUAAAGAGUUCGUAGGUGGUUUGUUAAGUCUGAUGUUAAAGACUGGGGCUCAACCCUGGGAGUGCAUUGGAUACUGGCAGACUGGAGUACAGUAGAGGCAAGCGGAAUUCCCAGUGUAGCGGUGGAAAUGCGUAGAUAUUGGGAAGAACACCGGUGGCGCAAGCGGCU